rnacentral:lncRNA from 1 species
GGCGCCUGCCCCGACUGUGCGGACCGGGAGCGGAGCGCGCGCGGCCCGGCCCCCAGCGAGCUGGCGUCGCGUUUGAUUUCAGCGCGCGGCCUGGAGCGCGCGAAAAUGAGUGUUUUAAAGCUGCUGCAAUUAUUACUUCUCAGGAAAAGAUCCCAGGUGAAGAAAUGAAGAUUGCUAACACUGUACAAGUGCGUCCUGGGCUCUGGGCUCAUGCUUAGUGCUUUAUAACAUUUUAUUGUUUCUCAAAACAACUCUAUGAGGAGGAAGGAAAUCAUGACAUAUGCUGCAACAUGGUUGAACCUUGAGGGCAUUAUCUUCAGUGAAAUAGGCCACUCACAAAAGAACCUGUCAAAUCUCCCCAUGGUGAUGAGCUCAGAUCCAGCAGAGUCAAGCCAAUAUUCAUUUGUUUUCAAGCAACUUUUCUCUCCUGAUCACCCGGAAAAUCCUUCCAGAAUUACCAAUAAUCAUCUCAACAAAAAGUUGAAGAGAGCCAGCAGUAAAAAGAGAAAACAAUAGCUAAAAGAAGAAUCAAGAACAAAGCAAAAGGACUUUGUGAGGAAGGAAAGAAGCUUCCAGGGCUUCAGCAGAAGAAACAAGACCAAGUGGAGCAAAUGCAGUGAAAUCAGGACAUGAGAUCUUUUCAAACUACUUGUAGAGGGUGUUCUCUUUUCCUUCAUGCAUAGGUCAGCACAAACAACACACCCUAUUUCAAGGAGGACCUCUGUUGGCUUGUUAUUGUCAUAUGUCCCUGGAGAGAGAAGGGUAUGGACAGUCAUCUUCUCCAUCUUAGGAUACAGUGCAGGUGCAGAGGUGGGCGACGGAGCUCCAGGUUCCUGGCUGGACUGGGCGGUGACUGGAAGCUCCAGGACUCGCAACUUGAGAUUUCAGUAGAGAGGUGUUGUGGCAUGAUGUCCCGCAACAGGAGAGCUGACUAAUACAAUAAUCCCCCAAAGUGAUUUGGAAAGUACCUUAAACUGAAAAGAUGGGAACAAUCAGCAGCUGCAGAAACACUACUUGAGUAAAACCUUAAGAAAAAUUUAAAUUUAAGUAGAGUCUCCUAAGAUAUAUCUUCCACUGACCCUUCUCCAAGGGAGUUUCUUGCUUAUGAGAAGACAACCUUGUAUCAAAAAGUCUGAUAAAUAUUCUUGGAAGCCCAACUUCACCCUGACAUUUGUUAGAUUGAGUGAAAACACAUACCAAGAUAAUGCCUCUGAAUAUUCCUUCUCUACCCCAGUCACAUGAUAUUCAGAUCAGAAAACACUGAUCCCUGCCUGAUAAGCUAGCCUGGUAUCUUCAUCUCCAGAUAAAGCCCAUUACAAGUGCUUUGGCCUUCAGGUCUCUACCCCUUUCCUCCGAUCAUGGAUGCUCUUGCAGCACCUACCAGCCACUGCCACCUGAAAUGAGCAAAAGAUAAACAUAUCCAUGAAUAAGAACAUCUAUAGCAAAUGCUACAAACAACAGCCAGCAUGUAGCGGCUGAGGACAACACUUAGGAACAUGGCUAAGAGUGUGGACCAUUAUCCUCUGGUGCCAAUAUUUAAGUGAUGAGACUCUUUGUCCUGAAAGACUUGCAGGAGAAGGGCAGAGCAUCCUGGUUUCUUGCCAAAGGAGGAUUCAGAAUUGGUCUCAUCUUACAGGGGCACCAGUGACUAGAUUGAGGAACUGUCAAAACUGAGGAGAAGACCCCAAGCUGGAGGCCUGUCCCUGGUAUGGUACCACUGCAGUAGACCAGAGUGGAAGAGGAGGGUCCAGGAGUUCAGAGCACAUCAGGGACCCAGAGACAAUUGGGGACUCUAUGUAAUCUUGGAUUGUUCUGCAAAAGAAGCCUCAUUGGAGGCCAAUGGCCUGGGUGCCAGGCCGGGAGGAAAGCCUUCAUUUCCAGCUCACCCGGGAGAGGCAGAAGAUAGGAGGUGCUGUGGAGCAGCUGAGGCAUCUGGAGUCUGGAAGUGAUCUGGAAGCACAUACUGUACAGCUAUAGAGCUGAUAUGUUACUGUUGGCAUCAUUAUUCAUGGAGGGAGCUGGAGCAGUGAACUCGCUAGUGCAUUUGAAUCACUCAGAAGAAGAGAGAAAACUCCAAAGGAUUCCAGAGUUAAAAGGAUGUGAAGGAGUGGCUCUCUACUGUAUAAGAAACCACUGAAAAGCAAAGACAGCUAUGGUCCAGAGCGAGAAAGACAGAGCUGAAGAGAAGCACUUACAUCAGCCUGGAGGCUGAGUUGUGUCCUCAGACCUUAUUCAGACCAAACUGUCAGUGCGGGAACAACCCACUGCUUUUAUUUAAAGCAGGACACCAGAAGGAUGACAUCCAAGCCUUGACACCAGGCUUGACACCAGGUCUCCUCCAACAUAGCUCAUUUCAAAUGCAGGUAUUGCAUCCUACCGACUCCCAAGGACUCUGGACACCAAAGGAACCAAUACCAUGACAAAGUGACCAGCUUGGAUCCAAACCCUGGGAAGCACCUGGAACCCUGCACACAUGUGACCUACAUAAGGAGCCACUGGAUGGCACUGUGGGUCCAUGCAAAUGUGUAUGGACGGACAUUUAUCUUUCCUUUGAAAAGACUGUUUAGCUUUGACAGGUAAUUUGGCACAUUUUGAGUUGAAAUGUGCCAAAUGAUUUGGCAAAUAUUUCACUUACCUCUGAAAAUAGGCACACCUGCUGUUGUGGCCUGUAGGGAGAUGGAGAGUAGCUUUUACCCUAGCCUCCUUGUGAUUGUUAAUUUCAGAAGUGAAAAUAAGAUUUUGGUCAAGGAUACAUAGGCCAACCUUAUAUUUUAAAGAGACAGUGAAAGUUUAGUGUCUCUCAUGGAACCAACUCCCCCCUCCAGAGAGAGCAUCUUUUUGUCUCCCCAGUGCCAUCUGUCUGCAGUAGCUGGCUUGUCUGGUUUAUGACCAGAUGGAACGGAAU